GCUCCCUGAUGUUAGCGGCGGACGGGUGAGUAACACGUGGGUAACCUGCCUGUAAGACUGGGAUAACUCCGGGAAACCGGGGCUAAUACCGGAUGGUUGUCUGAACCGCAUGGUUCAGACAUAAAAAGGUGGCUUCGGCUACCACUUACAGAUGGACCCGCGGCGCAUUAGCUAGUUGGUGAGGUAACGGCUCACCAAGGCAACGAUGCGUAGCCGACCUGAGAGGGUGAUCGGCCACACUGGGACUGAGACACGGCCCAGACUCCUACGGGAGGCAGCAGUAGGGAAUCUUCCGCAAUGGACGAAAGUCUGACGGAGCAACGCCGCGUGAGUGAUGAAGGUUUUCGGAUCGUAAAGCUCUGUUGUUAGGGAAGAACAAGUGCCGUUCAAAUAGGGCGGCACCUUGACGGUACCUAACCAGAAAGCCACGGCUAACUACGUGCCAGCAGCCCGCGGUAAUACGUAGGUGGCAAGCGUUGUCCGGAAUUAUUGGGCGUAAAGGGCUCGCAGGCGGUUUCUUAAGUCUGAUGUGAAAGCCCCCGGCUCAACCGGGGAGGGUCAUUGGAAACUGGGGAACUUGAGUGCAGAAGAGGAGAGUGGAAUUCCACGUGUAGCGGUGAAAUGCGUAGAGAUGUGGRAGGAACACCAGUGGGCGAAGGCGACUCUCUGGUCUGUAACUGACGCUGAGGAGCGAAAGCGUGGGGAGCGAACAGGAUUAGAUACCCUNGGUAGUCCACGCCGUAAACGAUGAGUGCUAAGUGUUAGGGGGGUUUCCGCCCCUUAGUGCUGCAGCUAACGCAUUAAGCACUA
rnacentral:rRNA from 1 species